GCGAGCGAGAGAGAGCGAGAGAGAGAGAGAGAGAGAGAGAGAGCGAGCGCGAGGCAGAGCGCGGCUCCAACUGUUGAAUUUUCACUGAAUUCUCCACUUACCUGCGGGCUGGCGAAAUGGAUCUGGUUUAUCGGGGAUCGGCGUUCGCUCCGCGUGCUGCCUGGCUAAGACUGGCGACCGUCUCUUUGCAAGGGGCCACCCAUCAAUGAGGCAGAGAAGAAUAUUUGUUUUUUCUUCUUUUGCGUUUGAAAGCCUCCCUGCCACACGUUGCAGAAUUAACUGUGUACUUUGGGUACGGACUCAAAUAAAGGAGAAAAAAACAGUGCAGAACUGAGACUCGGAACUAGAUCUGUGAGCUAUGUGUUGGAAACCUAUGUUUUUAUUGCUUUUUUUUUUUCUUUUAAUGUGAAAGAUCUCUGCUUUAUUUCACACAUAACACUGAGGAAAGGUGGUUAAAAACACUCAGCAAAGCAGGAGACAGACGCGCCUCUGUGCCAGUGAGUGGAUAACAGCCUUGUUUUCCUGAUCCUCAGUCUCCCGGAGAAAGAGAGUGAGUCAGAGAAGCGUUAGGAAGAAGCUGCAACUAAUGUCUGUGAAGGGAGGAACAUGAGGCGAUAGUGAAUAUGAUUUGUUCCGCUGGAUCUGACUCAUCCAAGCAGAUUGAAACACCUGCAUUUCUGGACUUGCCAUUCAUUUAUUUCAGGUUGUUAAAAGAACCUGAAAUAAAAUUUUGCUACCCUUUCCCAAUAUUUACCUAUACACCGUAUCACUAGGAAAGGUGUAUAUCAGAGAGGGGGAACGCAUCUGGCAUUGCUGCCGCUCUUCUCCCCUUUACCAAGAUGCUCAGAGACUGAAAAGCUUUGAAAGGACUGCAAAAAAUGCAGCACACUGAUCGCGGAACUGCAUAGGUUUUGAUAUAAGUGAUUAAUUAAUCGAUUAAAAAAUCUCCCACUUUA